rnacentral:misc_RNA from 1 species
UGUGGGAGCGAGCUUGCUCGCGAUGGCGGCGGGUCAGUCAACAUCAAUGCUGAAUAUGAAACCGCUAUCGCGAGCAAGCUCGCUCCCACA